GUGCUCGCUUCUUGUGCAGCACAUAUAUUAAAAUUGGAAUGAUAACAGAGAAGAUGAUCAUGGUCCCUGUGCAAAGAUGUUUAUAUCUAUAUAUAUAAAAAUAAUAAUAAU
rnacentral:snRNA from 1 species